UAAGAAAGUAAGGGCACACAGUGAAUGCCUAGGCACUAAGAGUCGAUGAAGGACGCAACUAACGGCGAAACGCCACGGGAAGCAGUAAGUAUGUGAAGAUCCGUGGGUAUCCGAAUGAGGGAACUCGGCAUGUAGAAGACAUGUCACUCUAGAAAUAGAGAGAGAAACGCAGUGAAUUGAAAUAUCUUAGUAACUGCAGGAAAAGAAAGUAAAAACGAUUCUGCGAGUAGCGACGAGCGAAAGUGGAGGAGCCCGAUACCAUAAUAGUUACAAAACUUUAUGUGAGAAGAACAACCUGGGAAGGUUGACCAAAGAAGGUGAAAGUCCUGUAAACGAAGCAUAAAGACUAGGGUAUCAAAGAAUACAGCGGGACACGAGAAAUCUUGCUGGAACUAUAAGGAGGACCAUCUCCAAAGGCUAAAUACUACUUAGUGACCGAUAGUGAACCAG
rnacentral:rRNA from 2 species